GUCAGUUUGGCCGAGUGUUAAAUUCGACAGACACGAAAUCUGUUGGGAGAUUCCCGCACAGGUUCAAAUCCUGUAGCUGACG
rnacentral:tRNA from 1 species